GUCGACGGCCAUGCUACCCUGAACAAGCCCAAUUCUGUCUGAUCUUGGAAGCUAAGCAGAGUCGGGCCUGGUUAGUACUUGAAUGGGAGAACAACUAGGAAGACCAGGCGCUGUAGGUG
ensembl:rRNA 5S_rRNA 5S ribosomal RNA